rnacentral:rRNA from 1 species
UACGAAGGGUGCAAGCGUUACUCGGAAUUACUGGGCGUAAAGAGCGCGCAGGCGGUCGAUCAAGUCGAGUGUGAAAGCCCCCCGGCUCAACUGGGGAGGGUCAUUCGAUACUGAUCGACUCGAAGGCAGGAGAGGGUAGUGGAAUUCCCGGUGUAGUGGUGAAAUGCGUAGAUAUCGGGAGGAACACCAGUGGCGAAGGCGACUACCUGGCCUGUUCUUGACGCUGAGGCGCGAAAGCUAGGGGAGCAAACGGG